GAAUAACGCCAAACUUUUAGUGA
rnacentral:siRNA from 1 species